AAAAGCUUCCUCCCUCCUUCCUGCCCCUCAGGGCUCUGGCUGCUCUCUGCUCAGUCUCUGAAGGCCAGGAUGAGCUCCCCAUGGCAGCUGCUCUGGCUCCUGGUGCUCUGGGCUCAGGAUUCCCAGGGAGCCAUUGUGCUGAGCCAGUCUCCAGCCUCCUUGUCCGGAUCUCCAGGAGAGACAGUCACCAUCAGCUGCAAGGCCAGUGAGAGUGUUGGUGGCUCCUUGCACUGGUACCAGCAGAAACCCGGCCAAGCCCCCAGGCUCCUCAUCUCCCAUGCUGAUAUUCUGCAACCUGGUGUCCCUGCCCAGUUCAGUGGCCGUGGGUAUGGGAGUGAUUAUACCCUCACCAUCAGCAGCCUGGAGCCUGAGGAUGCUGCACAUUAUUACUGUCAACAGAGUAAUAGCUCCCCUCUCCCACAGUGCUUCAGGCCCGAACAAAAACCUCCCCAGUGCAUCCAGGGGACUCAGCUCAGAGCAGCAGACUUCGAAGUGCAUCUAGUCCAGCCCAUGACUGUGCCCCCCGAGAUCUGCCAGUUUGUGCCGGGCCUGAGCUGUUUCACCUCCGGGAUGGAGGAAAUUGUGGGAACUUGA